UACAUCCUGCGAUGUUCGCCACGGUUGAUUGUUAUUUUGAACCAAUGACAAUGUCUACCGGGAGAUCAAUUAUGAAACGCGGCUGAAAAGCCCUGUCUAUACGACAUGGGGACUUCAAAACCGUUUAUGAGAUCACCCACCUGCUAAAGCAGGUUCAGAAGACAGAUUGAUCGGACGGCAUAGGCGGGUUUCCU
rnacentral:other from 1 species